rnacentral:rRNA from 1 species
AUUGAACGCUGGCGGCAUGCCUUACACAUGCAAGUCGAACGGUAACAGGUCUUUCGGGAUGCUGACGAGUGGCGAACGGGUGAGUAAUACAUCGGAACGUGCCUAGUAGUGGGGGAUAACUACUCGAAAGAGUGGCUAAUACCGCAUGAGAUCUAUGGAUGAAAGCAGGGGACCUUCGGGCCUUGUGCUACUAGAGCGGCCGAUGGCAGAUUAGGGAGUUGGUGGGAUAAAAGCUUACCAAGCCUACGAUCUGUAGCUGGUCUGAGAGGACGAUCAGCCAAACUGGGACUGAGACACGGCCCAGACUCCUACGGGAGGCAGCAGUGGGGAAUUUUGGACAAUGGGCGCAAGCCUGAUCCAGCAAUGCCGCGUGCAGGAUGAAGGCCUUCGGGUUGUAAACUGCUUUUGUACGGAACGAAAAGUCUUGGGUUAAUACCCUGGGAUCAUGACGGUACCGUAAGAAUAAGCACCGGCUAACUACGUGCCAGCAGCCGCGGUAAUAC